UUCCUGGUGGCUCAGAUGGUAGAGCAUCUACCUGCAAUGCAGGAGACCCGGGUUCGAUUCCUGGGUAGGGAA
rfam:Ovis aries breed Texel chromosome 5, whole genome shotgun sequence.